AAGCGGAGGAAAAGAAACUAACAAGGAUUCCCCUAGUAACGGCGAGCGAACAGGGAAGAGCUCAAAUUUGAAAUCUGGCGUCCUCCGGGCGUCCGAGUUGUAAUCUAUAGAGACGUUUUCCGUGCCGGACCGUGUCCAAGUUCCUUGGAACAGGAUAUCAAAGAGGGUGACAAUCCCGUACUUGACACGACGACCGGUGCUCUGUGAUACGUUUUCUACGAGUCGAGUUGUUUGGGAAUGCAGCUCAAAAUGGGUGGUGAGUUCCAUCUAAAGCUAAAUAUUGGCGAGAGACCGAUAGCGAACAAGUACCGUGAGGGAAAGAUGAAAAGCACUUUGGAAAGAGAGUUAAACAGUACGUGAAAUUGUUAAAAGGGAAACGAUUGAAGUCAGUCGUGUCUGGGAGGCUCAGCCGGUUCUGCCGGUGUAUUCCUCUCAGACGGGUCAACAUCAGUUUUGUCCGACGGAUAAUGGCGGCGGGAAAGUAGCACCUCCGGGUGUGUUAUAGCCCGCUGUCGCAUACGCCGGAUGAGACUGAGGCAUGCAGCUCGCCUUUAUGGCAGGGGUUCGCCCACUUUCGAGCUUAGGAUGUUGACGUAAUGGCUUUAAACGACCCGUCUUAA
rnacentral:rRNA from 1 species